rnacentral:rRNA from 1 species
GUCGAACGAUGACUUUUGUGCUUGCACAGAAUGAUUAGUGGCGAACGGGUGAGUAACACGUGAGUAACCUGCCCCUGACUCUGGGAUAAGCCUGGGAAACUGGGUCUAAUACCGGAUAUGCACCGUGGACCGCAUGGUUCUUGGUGGAAAGAAUUUUGGUCAGGGAUGGACUCGCGGCCUAUCAGCUUGUUGGUGAGGUAAUGGCUCACCAAGGCGACGACGGGUAGCCGGCCUGAGAGGGUGACCGGCCACACUGGGACUGAGACACGGCCCAGACUCCUACGGGAGGCAGCAGUGGGGAAUAUUGCACAAUGGGCGAAAGCCUGAUGCAGCGACGCCGCGUGAGGGAUGACGGCCUUCGGGUUGUAAACCUCUUUCAGUAGGGAAGAAGCGAAAGUGACGGUACCUGCAGAAGAAGCGCCGGCUAACUACGUGCCAGCAGCCGCGGUAAUACGUAGGGCGCAAGCGUUAUCCGGAAUUAUUGGGCGUAAAGAGCUCGUAGGCGGUUUGUCGCGUCUAUCGUGAAAGUCCGAGGCUCAACCUCGGAUCUGCGGUGGGUACGGGCAGACUAGAGUGAUGUAGGGGAGACUGGAAUUCCUGGUGUAGCGGUGAAAUGCGCAGAUAUCAGGAGGAACACCGAUGGCGAAGCA